GAAAAUAUCCUCAAAAUGCUAACGCUGUGCUCACUGUGGGAUUGCAUUUUGCAUUCAAAUGGAAGAUGGUGACUCUAGAAUUUUUGGAGAAGAUCCUUGAAGUUAGUUUGGAUCAUUAUCCAGAAGUUUGGAAGACUGUCCAGUGACAUUGACUCACAAAAGGAAUCUCAGCAUCACUGUGGAUGGCUCAGUGAAAACAUCUUUCUGUAAAAGUCAAAACCAGAAACUAACUAACAGGGAAAGCAAAUGAAAACAAUCAGAAGGACUAUCUUCCCACAUCUUAAAUUCCUGUAACAUCCCAGUCAUCUGAGGGGCAUGCAGGUGGUAGGUAAGAAAAGGGCAAGGACAAGAAGAGAAAACAUGAGAUACAAAGAAAAGGAAGCAUGUCUCCUCUCUCUGUUCUGCAGAUCAAAGCAAGUUUAUGUCCAUUUCAACUUCACCCUGUAGGCCCCACUCUGAAGAUCAAACCUGUGUUACAAUCGGCAUAUGUUUCAUGGACAUGGAGGUUUGUGGGUUUUGAGUGGCUGAUACCAU